rnacentral:rRNA from 1 species
AUGGCCCCAAAUUCCAGCCGCCGGUGUGCUACGCCCCUGCUGCUCGCAACAUCGCCGCUGGCGUGCUCCUCGACGCCAAGCACACCACCCCAGAUCGGCACACUCCAUCCCCGCCGGCGGCCCAACUCGCGGCACCGCCCCAGCUACUUCCUCCCGCCGGGCACAGCGAUGCUCCUGGACGCCUCCACUCCCACCGACGUCGGCACACUACACGGGCUGCACGCGCCCCUUGGCUACGGCCAAGCUUCUCGCGCGCCGGUUCAGAGCAUGACGGCUCAUCUGCUGGUUGCAACACAAGCACAUAACUAUGUGCUCUGUCCAUUUGCAUCCUUUAUUCUUCUGGAUAUGCUUGUGCUGAAGUUAUUCUCUUAUUCAUUGACAGAGCAUAGAAGAACCAAAAAGAAGAUGAUCAGCAUGAUGGCAAAAGGAAGACAGAAGAACCAAAAAAUCUGUUGUUGUGCAUGCCUCUUGUAUAUUUGUUACAUCUGGGAGAGGCUCCUUUUUCUCAAAAAAAUAAAAAUCUGGGAGAGGCUCUGUUCCCUAAAAAAACAUAAAAUUGGGAAAGCUUCUGUCUGGUCUCGCCGUCGGCCGGAUGCCUCGUCCUCCGGCCGGCGAGGCUGGCCACCGCGGUUCCAGUGCGCUCCAGGGACCCGGAUCGGCCAGUUCUGCGCCCUCCUCUCCCGCGUCGAUUCGUGGCAUCAGGAGCAUCAGCAGGGCCAGCUGAAGGAGGACCUGCCCCCGCCACCGGCGAAGCUCCGGGCAGCUACGAGGAAGCGCUGCGGCCAGAUCCGUACCGCAGAAGGACAUUGCCAUGGUCUACGACGGUGCUACCGCGCUGAGGCUGCGAAUGGUGCUGUGUCUACAUUCGUUGACAAUGCUGAUAGGAAACAACAAGUGUUGUUCCCGUUUUCAGAGAGCGGGACGGAUGUAUUAGCGGCGGAGCAGGUGGAUGAGUUCAGGGUCAGGGAGCUCAGGGGACAGCGCCUCAGAAGCUGGCGAUGCUCGUUCUCUGGUGUAGAGGAGGUCGUUCUAAUAGUAGGAUUUGAGGAUUGCUACGGCUCAUCAAGUGCUUACAUGGUCGAAAUGAUCAAUGCAGCUGCAAUGCUUGCGCUUUUCUUGAUUAUAACUGUCGGAAUGUCAGUACCCGGUGCAGCCGUGCAGUUUCAAUGCUGGUGUGAGAUGAGCUCCAGCAAGCUUCAGGCUAAGCUUGAAGAAAACAACCACCACAAGUCCGCAAAGCAAAAACCACUGACACAGUGA